rnacentral:rRNA from 1 species
CCUACGGGUUGCAGCAGUGGGGAAUUUUGGACAAUGGGCGCAAGCCUGAUCCAGCCAUGCCGCGUGAGUGAAGAAGGCCUUCGGGUUGUAAAGCUCUUUCGGCCGGGAAGAAAUCGCAUUCUCUAACAUAGGAUGUGGAUGACGGUACCGGACUAAGAAGCACCGGCUAACUACGUGCCAGCAGCCGCGGUAAUACGUAGGGUGCGAGCGUUAAUCGGAAUUACUGGGCGUAAAGCGUGCGCAGGCGGUUUUGUAAGACAGAUGUGAAAUCCCCGGGCUCAACCUGGGAACUGCGUUUGUG